UUGAAGACCCAAACACGGGCUUGAAGAAAAUCCCUCUUCUUCUCUCUUCUUCUUCUUCUUCUUCUUCUUCUUCUUCUUCUUCUUCUUCUUCUCUAUUUUUCUUCCGACUCUACCUUCAAUGGCGGUUUCUUCUAGAAAAUCAAGCGGGCCGGUUCUGAGGUCUCUCUCACCUUCUGGGAGAUUCUACGGCUCCUGUUCUUCUUAUUCCUCUUCUUCCUCAUCGGCUUUUGCCUCUUCCACAUCAAGCUUUUCCACUACAGACCAUACUUCGUUUUUCCGUAGAUCUGUGUCUCCUUCUCGCGUUAAUCUGCAAGGAUCCUCUUCUCCGUCCGCGUCAUCGGUGAGAUUUUCGCUGGACCGGUCUAUUUCUCCCAAUCGCCCUAUCUCUGUUUUGUCUCGUGCCACUGGGAAUCAUCAAGUAGUGAAGAAGCAGAGCCACCAGAAGAGGACGUGCAUGUGUUCACCAACCACACAUCCUGGUUCGUUCCGGUGUAGUCUUCACAAGGGCGUUCAGUCCCACCCUUCUACUCCUUACUCAUCUAAUCGGCUCAACGCACGGAGAUCGGCGAUGACGAACUCUCUGGUUAGAAUUGGAGGAGUUGAAGGGGAUAUAUUGAGGCGUGCCUUGGCGUCUCUCAUCAGACCUUCGUCUCAUAGUCAAAGACGCCGAGUGGAUUUCUGUCCAAGACCGAGUCGUCUUUCAAUUAUGUCGAAAGCUGAUGAUCUGUGAUGGAGAUUUUGGUACGUUGGCCAAUAACCUCUGGUUUAUUAAUCUUUUUACCUCUUCUCUGAGUUUUCAACGACGAAGACGGCGGAUUCAACCACAGGUUCGAUGGCAGGGAUACAGAGUCGGAGGCGAAGCUUGAGAAUCGAGAAUCGGAUCUGAUGGCCUCUACACUACACCUCGUUCCCGGAGUUGAACUAGACAACCUAUAAUUUGUGUCUUCUAAUUCCAAAAGGCAUGAUUCAAAUUUAUUUGCGUCUUCAUUGUUGUUACGUUUGUUCGUUCCACUCGAUUCGUAUUGUUACCAGAACAUACGUGUUUGACAUUAUUUGGUUCGGCGUUCAUCAUCUCCUUCCUUCUGCUGAUCGUCAGAUUCAAAUUAAAGCCGUUAUACGUUUAGUCAAAGACUAUGCAAUUGCAGGUUGAAUUUUGUGAUCUGAACGUAGGCUUGAUUGACGUUGGGGGAAAUUUGGAUGAAGUUAUGAACAAGGACACACUUGAUGGAACUCUUGACAUAGACUGAACAAUUAAAAAUUCAAACUAAUUGGGAUCAAAUCAUAGAGUUAAAAUUAAGUAAAAUAAUUUAGGAGUUGAAUAGAAAUGAAAUUGAAGAAUAUGAAGAUCGAUGAUUGUUGACCUGUCAAGUUCUAAAUCGGUGGAAGGAACCGACGUCUAUUUGCCAUGAAGAAUCAAUCAAAAUCAAAUCUCUAUCAGAUAAUCAUAAAAAAAAAAAAUUUGGGAUAUUGAGAAAUCGAUUAUGAAUGCGGCUUUUCAGUUGAAGAAUGUCCCUUUGAGAAGGGAAGAGCUGUCUACGUAAUUAGGAGAGGAUAUAACUUUUUGGAGGAGAGGAAAUUAUUAAGAAGAUGAACAUAAAGACUAUAACUUGAAAUUUGGGCUAAAUAUUUGACUUGGUGUUACAACAAGGCUUAGUCGAAUUCAAGUUGAUGUCAUGGUUUCUGUUUGAUAUGGGUUUGGUUCCAUCUCUUAAAGAAGCCAAUACCAAAGUUGGAGCUGAGUUGUUUGUUCAUUAUUAGUUCAACAGCCCUGUGGGGUCUCUUCAACUUUUGACUUUGACUUCCUGGUCCAUUGGAGUGAGAUUUGAGGGGUGUGGGGGUGUUUGGGCCAAAGGGGUUGAAGGUAGCUAGGAAGUGUCAGUUUAUGGCUUACAACUAAAAAGCAUCAUGUUGGUAUAGAGUUUAGAAUUCUCUAGAUUUCACAACGGUAGGAUUAAUAUGUUAGAGAAAUUGUGAAAAAUAGAUUUUUUCGAUGGCACCGACUUGUGAGUUCGAUCGGUGGACGGAAAGAGCGACUGAGGUAUCAUCAUGAAAUGGGGGUGUAAUUGGGGCUUGUGGGUAAUUGAACUCAAAAUUUGUUGCGUAGGGAAAAUUGAUACUCAACUUGGAGAUGAAAGGAAGAAGAGAAGGAUGGGACUCUAAAAUGGUUGAAAAAGGAAGUAGGCAAAGGCGGAAUACGAUAAGGUGACAAUAAGAGUGAAAAUGAAAGGUAUGUGGCCGUUUUCUCUUCUCCCAACCCCAUCAUCAUUAUCGUUAUCAUUAUCAUCAUCUUUAUCCAUUUUCAACAUUGUAUUUCUUCUUUUAUCCUUUCAAACUACUUAAAAGAAACAAUUAAAUCAAUUUAAAUGUAAUAGUUAGGCAAAUGUUGGUCAUCCAUGAAUCCUUCCACACCUACACUACCGUCCUUUAUUUUUUAAUUUCUUCAAAAAAAAAAAAAAAGGUAUUUUUGGAACAAAUGUUUCAUUUGUCACCUUUUACGACUUAGUCUUUGGGCUUAAUUAAGAAUUUAUUAUUUUAUUGUUGAAAUUUUAGGAAUUAGUAAGAUGGGGGGAAGAGAAAAUGUGUGUACUUAAUUAUUGUUGUAAGACAGAUGGUAUGAUAUGGUGGUGAGUGACAUGUCUAUUAUAUGAUUUUAAAUAAUUUAGGGAAUCAAUCGCAAAAGAUAUGGUUGAUAUAUUUUUCAAGUUAUGUCAUUUUGUUUUGUAUUAUAUUAGGUGGGAAGAGGAGGAGCAAAGGACCCACCGAAUCCACCGACUUAUGAGCUUUUUAAUUUUCUCACUAUACCAAAUAACAAUUUACCAGAUCAUUUGGUUACAUUUGUUUGGAAUGCCAUUGGCAAGGGCUUGAAGGGGGGUGGAUGGAGUUAAUUACGUGGAGGUUGAAACCUCACUUUCAAUGUAUUUAGAUGAGUACAGUUUUUGAGGAUUUGGGGUUAGUGGUUUUGGUUUGAGUUUGAAGUUUGAAGUGUUUUAACUUAUUUAAAAGAAGAGACUUUUAUGGUUGAUGGUAGUGGAUCUUGUUUGUAUACCAUCCGUUGGGGAUUGCUCGAGAGUGUGCAUUUGAUGUGGUGUCGAGUCAACUAUACAUUUUGGAUCAUAGUUCAAGAGGUUGAAGAGCACUAGCUGGUGCUAACUUUAACCACAAGCUUGUGCAAAGAUAUUCACUCGACAUCCAUGGUGUUAAUAUUCUGGUCAAUCUGUGGUUUUAACAAAUUCCAGCACGGCAUAGUUUCUCAAACCAGGAGAGUUUAGUGGGUUGUGUUAGUCUGCUCAUAUUUUGGGGUCAUCUAGGAUUAUUUUACAUUCUUUUUUCACUAUUUUACGUUCUUUUUUUUUUCUCUAUUUUUUUACUUUUUUCUAUUUUCCUGCUUUUUUCUUCUUUCUACUUUAAUUUAUUUAUUUAUAAUACUUUUUUUUUAUUUCA